rnacentral:misc_RNA from 1 species
CGCACAUUGCGCCCUUUGGUAUUCCGAAGGGCAUGCCUGUUCGAGCGUCAUUUCACCACUCAAGCCUGGCUUGGUAUUGGGCGUCGCGGCUCCGCGCGCCUUAAAGUCUCCGGCUGAGCUGUCUGUCUCUAAGCGUUGUGGAAUUUAACUAUUUUCGCUUCGGAGUGCAGGCGGCCGCGGCCGUUAAAUCUUUAUACAAGGUUGACCUCGGAUCAGGUAGGGAUACCCGCUGAACUUAA